UUGCAUUUCCAGCUAACCCCAAAGCCAUUUCCAGCUGCUACCAACAGAUAAUUUGGAAUCAGAGUUUGUCCUUCUGAGAUGCAUUCAUUCCAUAUGGUCUUCCUGUCUUGGUCCUCAGCAAGAGUAUUGCUGAUCGAAAAUCCAGCUUGUUUCAGGCAGAAAAUCACUGGAAGCACUGUCAGCAGAGCAUGAGGUUGGUGCCAAAAUGCAGAGGGUGGCACUGUUUGGCUGGGCCAAAGAAACAUGCAAACUUUGAAGCUCUAUAGUCCUGCAUGUGACCAAGAACUUUUGGGAACUCACCUCUGCAAGAGAUGCCUAGUGACUGGAUGCAUAAUUGGAGGGAUUCUUUCACUGUACAGAAGUUCAUUAAAUAGAACUGACCACUGAUGGAAUUCCCACAAUCAAUGGGCUUACACAAGGGGUUUGGCGAGCGAUCAUGCCCCUUGCAUAUGCUUGUAUGACACGGGCAGCUUUCUUCUGCUCUGCCAGCUUCUGGCGCAGCAGGUAGC